AUUGAACGCUGGCGGCAGGCCUAACACAUGCAAGUCGAACGAGUGGCGGACGGGUGAGUAAUGUCUGGGAAACUGCCCGAUGGAGGGGGCUAACUACGGGAAACGGUAGCUAAUACCGCAUACCAUCGGAUGUGCCCAGAGGGGAUUAGCUAGUCGGUGGCGAAACGGCGCACCUAGGCGACGCUCCCUAGCUGGUCUGAGAGGAUUACCAGCCACACUGGACCUGAGACACGGUCCAGACUCCUACGGUAGGCAGCAGUGGGGAAUAUUGCACAAUGGGCGGAAGCCUGAUGCAGCCAUGCAGCGUGGAUGAAGAAGGCCUUCGGGUUGUAAAGUACUUUCAGCGAGGAGGCGUUACUCGCAGAAGAAGCACCGGCUAACUCCGUGCCAGCAGCCGCGGUAAUUC
rnacentral:rRNA from 1 species